GGUCAAGCGAAUAAGCGCACACGGUGGAUGCCUUGGCGGUCAGAGGCGAUGAAGGACGUGGCAGCCUGCGAAAAGUAUCGGGGAGCUGGCAACAAGCUUUGAUCCGGUAAUGUCCGAAUGGGGAAACCCACCCGCUUGCGGGUAUCCUGCAGUGAAUACAUAGCUGCUGGAAGCGAACCUGGUGAACUGAAAUAUCUAAGUAACCAGAGGAAAAGAAAUCAACCGAGAUUCCGUAAGUAGCGACGAGCGAACGCGGACUAGCCCUUAAGCUGAUUUGGUUCUAGGAAAACGCUCUGGAAAGAGCGGCCAUAGAAGGUGAUAGCCCUGUAUCUGAAAGGGCCAUUUCAGUGAAGACGAGUAGGGCGGGGCACGUGAAACCCUGUCUGAACAUGGGGGGACCAUCCUCCAAGGCUAAAUACUACUGACCGACCGAUAGUGAACCAGUACCGUGAGGGAAAGGCGAAAAGAACCCCGGAGAGGGGAGUGAAAUAGAACCUGAAACCGUGUGCGUACAAGCAGUAGGAGCUCCGCAAGGAGUGACUGCGUACCUUUUGUAUAAUGGGUCAGCGACUUACUGUUCGUGGCAAGCUUAACCGUAUAGGGGAGGCGAAGGGAAACCGAGUCUGAUAAGGGCGCAUAGUCGCGGGCAGUAGACCCGAAACCGGGUGAUCUAGUCAUGCCCAGGGUGAAGGUGCGGUAACACGCACUGGAGGCCCGAACCCACUCCCGUUGCAAAGGUAGGGGAUGAGGUGUGAUUAGGAGUGAAAAGCUAAUCGAACCCGGAGAUAGCUGGUUCUCCUCGAAAGCUAUUUAGGUAGCGCCUCAUAUGUAUCCUCUCGGGGGUAGAGCACUGUUAUGGCUAGGGGGUCAUCGCGACUUACCAAACCAUUGCAAACUCCGAAUACCGAGACGGACUGUAUGGGAGACACACGGCGGGUGCUAACGUCCGUCGUGAAAAGGGAAACAACCCAGACCCACAGCUAAGGUCCCAAAUUCACUGCUAAGUGGAAAACCAUGUGGAAAGGCACAGACAGCCAGGAGGUUGGCUUAGAAGCAGCCACCCUUUAAAGAAAGCGUAAUAGCUCACUGGUCGAGUCGGUCUGCGGGGAAGAUUUAACGGGGCUAAGCAGUGAACCGAAGCUUGGGGUGCAUAACUUUGUUAUGCGCGGUAGAGGAGCGUUCCGUAAGCCGUUGAAGGUGGAUUGAGAAGUCUGCUGGAGGUAUCGGAAGUGCGAAUGCUGACAUGAGUAACGAUAAUGCGGGUGAAAAACCCGCACGCCGAAAGCCCAAGGUUUCCUUGCGCAACGUUAAUCGGCGCAGGGUGAGUCGGCCCCUAAGGCGAGGACGAAAGUCGUAGUCGAUGGGAAGCAGGUUAAUAUUCCUGCACCUCGCGUAAGUGCGAUGGAGGGACGGAGAAGGUUAGGUGUACCAGGCGUUGGUUGUCCUGGGGAAAGGCGGUAGGUUUGGAUCUUUGGCAAAUCCGGGAUCCUCUAAGACCGAGCACCGAGACGAGCCUUUAAGGCGAAGUCACUGAUACCACGCUUCCAGGAAAAGCUCCUAAGCUUCAGCUUACGCAGACCGUACCGUAAACCGACACAGGUGGGUAGGAUGAGAAUUCUCAGGCGCUUGAGAGAACUCGGGUGAAGGAACUAGGCAACAUGGCACCGUAACUUCGGGAGAAGGUGCACCCUUUUUGGUGGCUCGUGCGAGCUAUAGCUGAAGAGGGUCGCAGUAACCAGGCCGCUGCGACUGUUUAUCAAAAACACAGCACUCUGCAAACACGAAAGUGGACGUAUAGGGUGUGACGCCUGCCCGGUGCUGGAAGGUUAAUUGAUGGGGUCAGCCGCAAGGCGAAGCUCUUGAUCGAAGCCCCAGUAAACGGCGGCCGUAACUAUAACGGUCCUAAGGUAGCGAAAUUCCUUGUCGGGUAAGUUCCGACCUGCACGAAUGGCGUAACGACAGCGGCGCUGUCUCCACCCGAGACUCAGUGAAAUUGAAAUCGCUGUGAAGAUGCAGCGUUCCCGUGGCAAGACGGAAAGACCCCGUGAACCUUUACUAUAGCUUUACACUGAACGUUGAGUUCGUCUGUGUAGGAUAGGUGGGAGGCUAUGAAACUGUGGCGCUAGCUGCAGUGGAGCCAUCCUUGAAAUACCACCCUGUCGUGCUUGACGUUCUAACCUGGGCCCAUUAUCUGGGUCGGGGACCGUGUAUGGUGGGUAGUUUGACUGGGGCGGUCUCCUCCUAAAGAGUAACGGAGGAGCUCGAAGGUACGCUCAGCGCGGUCGGACAUCGCGCACUGUGUGCAAAGGCAUAAGCGUGCUUGACUGCAAGAUCGACGGAUCAAGCAGGUAGGAAACUAGGACUUAGUGAUCCGGUGGUUCUGUAUGGAAGGGCCAUCGCUCAACGGAUAAAAGGUACUCCGGGGAUAACAGGCUGAUACCGCCCAAGAGUUCAUAUCGACGGCGGUGUUUGGCACCUCGAUGUCGGCUCAUCACAUCCUGGGGCUGUAGUCGGUCCCAAGGGUAUGGCUGUUCGCCAUUUAAAGUGGUACGCGAGCUGGGUUCAGAACGUCGUGAGACAGUUCGGUCCCUAUCUGCCAUGGGCGUUGGAGAUUUGAGAGGGGCUGCUCCUAGUACGAGAGGACCGGAGUGGACGAACCUCUGGUGUUCCGGUUGUCACGCCAGUGGCAUUGCCGGGUAGCUAUGUUCGGAAGCGAUAACCGCUGAAAGCAUCUAAGCGGGAAGCGCGCCUCAAGAUGAGAUCUCCCGGGGCACAAGCCCCCUGAAGGAACCAUGUAGACUACGUGGUUGAUAGGUCAGGUGUGUAAGUACAGCAAUGUAUUGAGCUAACUGAUACUAAUGAUCCGAGAGGCUUGACCAU
rnacentral:rRNA from 1 species